CCUCCCGCAACCCCGAACCCUAACCCCUCGCUCUCCUCCCCUCCCCGCCGCCCUCACGCUCCCUCUCCAGCACCCCGCCGCCGCCCUCUCUCUUCCUCUCUCUGCUCUCUGCCUCCCCGCCGUCAUCUUCGGUCCCAUGCUCCCUCUCCGCCUGCCUCCGUCAAUCCUCCUUGCCGCCGCUCCUCCUACUCUCCGCCCAUUCCGGCGGGAUCUGGAUCCGGUGCGGGGCGCAGGUCGGAGGGCGUGGGGUGCAUGCCGGCCGGCCACGAUGAUGGGGGGCCAUGAGCCCCUCCGCCCGCCGCACCACCAGACGCACGCGCCCCAGCUGGUUCGUGUCCAUCCCCUGGUCGGAGCUAAGGGACUGGCCACCGCCGGCCGGAUCCGCACGAUGGCGGGAUGGCGCCCUUACAGUAGGCGUGGGUCGCCGUUGGCCUCAGCGUGCGGCUGCUGAUGGCCGAGGAUUUCGGUGGAUAGGGAGGCUGAAGCGGCUUCAGAGGGCAGGAGUUCAACAUGAAGCCACCGUUGCUGUGUGGGUAUGGCCGUAUGGGCAUGGGCUCCUAUCAUUCGAGUCGUCCAAUUGGCUGCUGCUUCUCUUGCUUGUAGAGUUGUUCAGUCUGGUGCUCGCUUUGUGAUGUUAGAUUGGUGGUAAUUGGUGGCUGACAAGAAGUGAGCUUCUGGAAUUACGUCAGUAGGAUCUCAGUAGGCUUCUUGGGUUUGAGCAGCAGCAUCUCAGGUUUGGGAUGCUUAUAGAAUAUCUGUUCGAAAAAUUUCCAAAUUGGCAGGAAAUAGGUAGCCAGGCCAUUGGUGUCCUCUAGGUGACCAGUUCAGGUGCGGCCUGGAGCGGCGGGCAGGCCAGGUCAUGGGGGCGCGUCGCGGUGGGUCAGCCCCGGGUGGUGGCGAGAGGGUGGAGUGGCAACAUGGUCCUGGUCGAGCUCGAACUGAAGCAUAGCGAAGAGUGCUGGCCAGCAUGCUGGAUAUGCUCAUGAACCUGCUACCCUGUUCGUUAUUCCGAUCACAUAUGUGUGACGAGCAACUAGCACUAGAAAACUUUGCCUCUAAACGACCAUGAAAACAACAGCUUCCUUUUACUGUGCUAUCGUCUUUGCAUUUAGGGAAGCAAGUAGUAACUCUGAUCUAAAAACAGAGUACUUAUUGUGAUGGUAUUAUAUACUUAUACUAAAGUGCCAAGAUUUGGGUAGC